AAAAAAGCCAAUAGGAUCAGAGUGAAAAAUUAAAUAAGCACAAGAUUGGGAUUAAAUGGAACAAAAUAAGGAGCUUUCAGAGCUAAGUCAGUGAGAGUGAGUGGCUGGCAAACUCAUAUAUGGAGAAGAUUUUUUUUCUGUCUUCCAAGGAGGCAUUUUGGUCCAUUCUAUAAAAUCCAGAAUAGGAUUGAUCAUUGAUUAAGCCCUAGCCUGAUUGUAAUCUAUUAUUCAUUCAUUUACUAGGACUGAAGAGCUUAAAGCUUCUAGAAUGGUGUCAUAAUAGGUCCUCAAUAAAUAUUUGUGGAUAAAUGAACACUAAGAAAGUAUUUACCAAGAGACACAGCAAUAUUUGUUCAUUCAUUUUUAUCAUUUAACAAGUAACAAGUCUAGAAGCCAGAUAGAGUGAAAUGGGACAGUGAGUGGGAAGUAAGGAAAGGAAGUCAGUAAAUAGACAGGAGGAAUGUCCUUUGCGUUAAUUAGGACUCUUUGGUUUUACCUUUGGUCAAGAAAGAAGUUUAAAUAUAAGAAUACAGAAAUUACCACUGCAGCUCAGUGGUAGGGAACCUGACUAGUACCCAUGAGGAUGUGGGUUCUAUCCCUGGCCUUGCUCAGUGGGUUAAGGAUCCAUGGUUGCCAUGAGCUGUGGUAUAGGUAACAGAUACAGCUCAGAUCUGGCACUGCUGUGGCUGUGGCAUAGGCCAGCAGGUGCAGCUCUGAUUUGUCCCCCAGCGUGGAAACUUCCAGAUGCCACAGGUGCAACCCUAAAAAGCAAUAAGUAAAUAAAUAAAAUAAUACAGAGGGUGUCUCAAAAAUGGAAGGGCAAAGAUGCAGUCAAGAACUUAUAGGAUGCAGGGAUAGGAGCAUACUUGGAGUCCAGGAAAUCCUCUUUCCAUUUCAUUAAUACUCUCUCUGCAUAUCUGCUUCAUUCUUCCACUGAGUUUCUUUGCCUCCCUGUGCACAAGAUAGUAGAAACCACCACCCCUUACAAGUAUACAUCUUUCAAAAGAACAACCAGACUGAUACUUGAAACCCUAGCCCUGUUUCCACAUUUCAUGUGUUCUUCACAAAUUUAGAACAUCAUUCCUCAAGACUUUUAUCUCUGAUAUUCUUGCCCCAAAGUUGAAUUAAAUUGAAAAGGGUCAAUAGGCUAAUCAUCCUUCUUCAAGGUUCUCAGUGUACAUCUACAUAUUAGAAGUUCUGAGAAGUCCUCUAAUAUGUAAGCCUGCCCCCUUUAAUUCAUUGAGCAUUUCCUAAACUUAUUUCACGUGCACUCACCACUCCUACACACACACACACACAUACACAUAGAGCACUGACUAAUAUGCCUGCAAGAUACAUUAAAUGUAGUAGACAUGGAGAACUAGAUCUAUGUUAUUCUUCCAGUGAGAGGAAGUGUUUUAGAUAGAAGGGAAGGGGAAUUAAUAGAGACACUCAAAUGAUCUUUUCUCUUGAUUCAACGAAAUGACUGAGUCCCUUAAAUACGCAGCAUCCACAUUGUAUUUUGAAUACAUUCUUCCAUUAUAGUUAAAUGUCGAGUAAAAGUUAUUGAGUGAAUACUAAGUUUAUUGGGUUGCUGUGCUGAUAAUUUUAUUUUAUUUUAGUACAUAGUACAAAGGAAAUCUAUUUAUUUACAUUUACAUUGUAGGAAUAUGGCAGUGCUCCAAGAAAACUGUGAAAUUCACCCGGAAUCUCCCACCAAAGAGAGCCAUUGUUAACAUUUUAAUACUAUGUACUCUUUGUGUCAGCUUGUUUUUUGUCAAAACAGGAUUUUACUGCUUGAAUUUGCAUUUCGCUAAUUAUGUAUGCAAUGAAAAUUCUUUUUAAUUUAACUUUUAUUGAGGUGACAUGGGUUUAUAACAUUAUGUAAGUUUCAUGUGUACAGUAAUCUAUUUCAACUCUUUUUAUUUAUUGCCUCUCCCCUUGAAAUUCACUUUUUAUUUACCCACUCUAUGAAAAUUGAUACGGGCCCUUUAAAUAGGUUUUACUAACAUCACAGCCAGCUGGCAAAGGAAAAUCUAUUUAAAGGUCCCAUAUCAAUGGCACCUGGCACCUGAGGAACUUUGCAGAGAGGAAGGUUUUGCCUUGUGCUCUCUUGGAAGGCUACUGGAGGCUUCUCCAGUGCCCAGUUCUUGCAACACUUGUGACUUUUCUAGUACUCAGCUCUGCAGUGCAAUUACUCCAGCACUGAAGGUUUCUCAGGCACCCAGCUCCCCAGUGCCUUGAUCCUAAUGCAUACACAACUUCUCCAGGCACUGGCUUCUGCAGUGAACAGCAGGCAACAUCUCCCACCAGCUUCUCCUAUCAAGCAAUUUUGUAAGCAUGUGCCUCAGGUAAGAAAUCUCCCCUUGAAUGGCUUUCCUGGCACCCUGGAAAAUACAUUUCCAGGGCAUAUUUCUAGAAAGUUCCAUCUCUUGGAACCAUAGCAACUUCUUUACCACCCAGUGAGCCACUGCCAUGCUGGCUUUAACCAGGUCUGGAGGCAGGGAGUCUUCUUCCUCAGCUGGAGGGCUAGUGGCUAUCCUUAUUUCUGUUAACUCUGUAUGUUUGGAGUUCUCUUUACUUGUCACUUCAUUAUUCUAAUCCUCUUUCAUAAUAAUUUUUUUGCUAAACUUUCUAUAUUCAAAUUGCUGUUUUUUUCCUUUUGAAAAUAAUUAAGUUCCCUAAUCUUAGUCCAUGUAUUAUUGUUUUAUUUUCAAGGUAUCAUGAACCCUUUUUAUUUUCCCCACAACGUUCUGUGAGUGUCUGUACCAUUAUUUUAAUCAUUUCAUAGAAGACAUGGAUUUUCUUGUCCUUGCCACAUAUUUCAUUGCAGGAAUCUGACCAAAAAAAAAAAAAGUAGCUCUCAUGUAAUACAACUGAAACUAGAUUUGAGAUUGCAUCCUUAAAUACCAAUUAUCACCAAUCUCUACUAGCUGUUUCUGAUUAAAGGUUUUCUUUGUGUUUACAAUUGGAGAAUCCACCUCGUGACAAGGAUGGUAAAUGCGAAAGAAGGUGAAUGAUUCAGAAUAUCUUGGUUGUUCUUACGAGGAAGUGUUUUGAUAGAGCAAACUGUUAACCUGAAUGUUUUAAGCAAAUGGGACUUGGCUGAUUUCUUGUGCUUUUCUGUAGAAAAGAGCCGCUGUAGUUUCAGCUGGAAACCCAAAGCCUUGGGCUCAGUUUUUUUGUUUGUAUGCUUUUUGAGGUGACUGCUUCAUAGGUAUAAACAAUCUGGGAUAUUGAGCUAAAAACUGCUGAGGAUCUUUCAGGUUAAUGUGAACCAGCAGGGAGUUGAUCCUGACUGGCAACCAUGGGAAAAUCCCCCCCCCCACUAGGAAGUGCAUGGGAGCAAUUCCUUCUAAGAGUCAAACACUUCAGAGAGUGCUUCUCAAAGUGGUCGUCUUAAUUCAGUGUGUGUUUCUGAGUUGCUCACAGGUGUUUCUGAAUGAGCUGGUGGAAAUACCCAUACUUGUUGAGUCAUUUGGCAGCUUGCAAGAGAGGCUGUGUUAAUCUCAGGGAAGGAUAUAUAACAUAUGCUGAUGUAUAAUUACAAUGUAAUGGUAAAAAGUAGAUAUAGGGCAUCAUUAUGGUCUUGAAUAUACAUGGCAUCAUGGUUGUGAUGGUCAUUAUCAACAACACAAUACAAUCAUUGUCACUGGGCAGCUAUUGUGUAGACAGUAUAACUCUUGUCCAUGGAUUAGUUUAGUUAAUUCUCAGAAAGCUCUUCAGAAGUACAUAUCAAUAAUAUCCACAUUUUACAGAUGUGAAUACCCAGGAAAAAUUAAGAAUUUGCCUAUGAUCAGUUAUCCAUCUGUUCAGCCAGGGCACAGAGUUGACAAUCUGACUCCAAGAUGAGGUGAGUACAGUGGCCUAAGCACCAUGCUCCACUGCUUCCCACAUGUUUGGAGCUAAAAAUAUCAAGUAGUGGAUGUUAAAGAGAACCUUCUUCUACCUUCAUUCAACUCCUUUCACUUUCAUUUUAAUGGAGUCUCUGAAAGACUUAAUGUAUCAUGUAGAAUUAUCAAGUUAAAUGACUGUAUUUUUCACCUUAAUUGACCAUUUUGAACUGAAUUGCUUGGACUUUAUCCGGUUUUUUAAAAUAAUUCAAUGCGGUCUAGCAAAGCUAUCACAAGUCUCUUUCCACCAUCACCAUACCUGACAAAUAUUGCUCACAUGUAUGAUGUUCUACCAUGUGCUUAUCCAGAAUUAAUGCACAAAGCUACACGCAUAAAAGUCAGUGGCUUCUGCACAAUUUCUUCCAGACCACGUGUAACUCCAUUCUUCUGUCUCUCACUCAUUCUAGGGUCUGUAGUUAAGGACCUACAAGUUUAGAGAAAUUGAGAGAGAUGUGAGGGCUUGCAAAUAGAUUCUGAUCAUCUAUAACAAGCAAACAGCUGAAUCACUGUGGUGGGCUUGUAGGCGACUGAAAAACACUAAGACAUCUUGGGAGAUAGACUUUGACACCAUUGACAAAAAUCACUUCAAUCACAAGACAGUGAGAGGGACAUGGGGGAGGAACAUGUCAUGGGGAGUGUUGAGUUUGGCCCAUUUUCAAGUUUCUUAAUUGGAAUUCUGCUGUUAAAAUGUGGGCCACUUCUGGGAAAUUCUGUACCAUGAGCAUUUUGCUUAAUGUUUAAAAA
rnacentral:lncRNA from 1 species